UGUAUUUGGAUGAGUAAUAAAAGGGUUGAAGUGCCAGCCUAAUAAAUGACACCACAUCUAGAGGAAGAGCCAACAGGCCAAAGAAUGUGCUGGGUCAGGUAGCCCGAUGAUAACCCUGAGGGCACACCGGAAUCCACCCACAACUGCACCACCCCAAGGACAGGGGAGGCGGCCAAAGAAUCGAAGAACAAGAUAAUAACAAGCCGUCAUUGCUGUGCCAUCUGCAUGAUUGAUUAUCACUUCAAAGAUGAGAACAGCAUGAUGAAGCAAACCCUAUAGACUUGAAUGAGGAUAAAUCCUUAUAAAAACAGGCCCUGAAGACUGAGAACUUUGGGUCUGGUUCUGCAACCAACUUCCAGGAGCAUCAGAUGCACAUCGGACAAGGCCCCGCUCCCUCCUCGGGUCCAGGCCACCUGGCCAGUGACUUGGCACAAGCAACUCUAAGGCUGGGGUCAGUCUGGUCACUGAUUACCAUGGUCUUUGCUCCAGAGGGAACAAAAUUGCAGAGUCUGGAUGGACAUAAGUCAGAAUUGCUCAGAGAUCCUGGUUGAUUCACAAGAGACUACCACCCAGCACCUCACCUGACAGCGGGAGAAUUGCGUGAUUCCAUCAUGAGACAGAUCUGGAAACCAAGAUCCCAAUCCUGAAAACACUGACAAAUGCCAUUGAAGUCAAUGGACACUAUGGGCCUGAUCCAAAUCCAAUGGCAAGACUACCUUCCAAGUUUAUGUGAAGUUCUUCUGAAGUCACCUGCCAAGGACUGUAUUGCUUUUUAAUAAGAAGGAAGAAGGAACCUAUGAUGUAGCUAUGCAGUCCAAAGUCAGAUUAAGAAAGUAAGUCUUUGCAUGCACCUGAGUUGAAUUCAAUAUAACAGAUUUAUCAUUAGAAAAAAUAAAGGUGUGGUGGUGAAAUGUGAAAAAAGCUUCCUGAAUUGGAAAGGAUGCGAAAAAGAAUGUCACGUAUCCUUAAGUUCGCUUAUAUCUCUUGGUGUGUUAUUGAACAUGACUUGGACUAAGUAGCAAGCUUCAGAAAUAUACAACCAAAGGACAAAAUAGAAUUUACUGGAAGAAUAGCAGGAUUAGCAUAUUCAAGCUAACUGAUAACUUUUCGAGGAAGAGACUGUCUGGCUGUGCUUUAAAGAAGACAGACUUUCCAACUUUUUCCUGUUGUCUGGAUGCUAUCUUUGGCAUUCUUUGUUCCUAGACUUUCUACUCUUUGUUAUCAUACAGAAAUCUUGGAUUUCCCUUUAAGUACAAGACCUUAUUUCCUAUUUGAUAUCCUACACAAUGUUGCAUUGCAAAGAAAGAACAGUUAGUUCAUUAGGAACAAAACAGGGUUUGGUGAGCUAGGAAAUUCAAAAUCUCUAUGGUGUAAUAAUUACUUUACAGUAAGUAAUUUGUUUUUGCUGCCCUCUGCAACCCCACUUAAGUCAAUUAGGCUCAGAUCAUUCAAUGGGAGAUUGGCACCCAAAUACCUUUGAGGAUUUGGGCCUCUGCCACAAUCUUCCUGUGUAGCCUUGGACUAGUUAUUAAUCUUGCCUGCACCUUUUCUCUUGUGUUAAGUGGGAUUACACCUCACACAAAUGCUCUGAUUCCAAAAUAAUGCAUGUUUAUAAAGUGUUUUGAAAUCUUCCGGUGGAAGAGAAACAGAUUGAUUACUUGAGGCUGAUGUCAGGUUGCCCAAUGUAACAUCCUCACAAGCCACAAUCUGCUUGAAGCAGUGACAAAUCUGCUUGAAAGCCACUUUUUUUGUCAAGAAAAGGGUAAGAUGUAUGGUGGUAUGGGGUUAACAGUGACUAACCAGAGCUUUUGUGAAACAAAACACAGCACUGAAACUGGAAUGCAGAAAAUAUAAAAUUCAGAUUAAAGAAAUGCAGGAAGUAGAAUUGAGAAACAAGGUCACUGAACUAUUGACACUAUGUACAAGUUUGGAGGCUUUGAGAAAACUCAGGAAUGUGAGCUUCUUACAGUAUGUCUACACUGCAAUGUAAGCCCAUGCUUGAGCUUGGGCUCAAGUCUAACACCCCUUGCAUCUAUGCUGCAAUUGUGCUAACCCAGGACUCAAACCCAGGCUCACAGGACACCACAAGGUCUGAGCACAAGUCAAGCUGGGACUCAAGGUUCGCUCUAUUGCUUUGCAGUGUAGACGCUACUUCUUUGGACUUGUGUCCCAAUAAUCUGUCAGAAGUAUCCCACAAUUCCAUGGGACAACUUCCUUAGUCCUCUCUAUCCCAACAAUCUCCAAUCCACUCUACUGAAAAUGGAAGUCACCCUCUCCCCGCUUGGGAAACGGCAGCAGCUCAGGUCAGUGUUAACCCAUUCCGUUCUGAUCACCGGUCUGCAAGCACACGAUCAUAUCACUCUCUGGGUUUGCAAUGAAGAAUGAUCCCCUCAAGCUUUUUGCCAAGUGAACUGCUUCAUGGUGAAGGGAGUACAGCCAAAUUUUGGUGAAUCUCUGUUGUGAGGCCAGUAAAACUGUGGACUUCAGCAAAAGCACCAGGAAGUGGGCUGUAGUCCACGAAAGCUUAUGCUCUAAUAAAUGUGUUAGUCUUUAAGGUGUCACAAGUACUCCUGUUCUUUUUGCGGACACAGACUAACACGGCUGCUACUCUGAAACCAGAAAUUACAUGUGUACCAGAGAUAGCUAAAAAGCUGGCAGCUCUGUGUGAGGUUUUCCAGACAGGUGACCAGUGCAGGGAGCAUAUUAAGAAGCUGAAGAGUGAGUGCUGGAAGACCAGGGACAAGAACCACACCUCAGGCAACUUGCCAAUGCCAGGCCCAUUUUAUGAUGUCUUUGACCAGGUUCUGGGCACUGCACCCAGCACAGAGCCAAUCAUGCUUCAUGACGUUCUGGCAGCCGGGGUGGUGCCCUGUUGGCCCCUGAAUCCAGCAUGGGGACUGGGGGAGCCCGCAGCAGGUUCCCAGUGCAAAGUUUGAAGUGUCUUUUUAAAUGGAACCAGUCCCAGAGUAGGCUCUAGAUCAGGAUCAACAGCAAAUUCUCAGUCCCUAUUCAGAAGAGUGUUUGAUUUUCCCUUCUUUCCUCCCCUCCCCUGGAACAACCUGCUACCGAGCCAGCAGCACAUCCACUGGAGACAGACGCUGCCCCAGAGUCUGGAACUCAAUCCCUAUGUCAACGUACCUUCACCGAAUGUUCCAAAAGGAAGCGUUUCCUUGAUGAAGUUCUGAGAGGGUAGACCAGCAGGUCCAGCACCAGAAGAAGAGGGACGACAGACUGAAAUAACGGCAUGCUGACAGGCAGGAGGAAAGACUGAGGCACGCCUCCCCGGUGGAGGACAGGGUUUCAACGAGGGAGCAGGCACUUGCAAAGCAGUUCCUGGAACAGGAACAGUGGCUAAGGGAGGAGAACAGAUUUCAACAGAGAGAACUGUUCCAGCAACUCCUGUCCAUAAUGGCUCCUGCUGCCUCCUGAGCACCAUGACAUGAUGAUCACCCUGCAAUGUACCCUCAGUACAGCAGUAGCUUGGACAACUCCAUUUCAGAGCAGCCCAUGCAUUCAUGACUCAUGAGCAGGGCUGGCUCCAGGGUUUUUGCUGCCCCAAGCGGCGCGGGAAAAAAAAAAGCCGCGAUCACGAUCGGCGGCAGCUCCACCGCGUCGCUUUCUUCUUUG